rnacentral:rRNA from 1 species
GUGGGGAAUCUUAGACAAUGGGGGAAACCCUGAUCUAGCCAUGCCGCGUGAGCGAUGAAGGCCUUAGGGUUGUAAAGCUCUUUCAGCUGGGAAGAUAAUGACGGUACCAGCAGAAGAAGCCCCGGCUAACUCCGUGCCAGCAGCCGCGGUAAUACGGAGGGGGCUAGCGUUGUUCGGAAUUACUGGGCGUAAAGCGCGCGUAGGCGGACCAGAAAGUUGGAGGUGAGAUCCCAGGGCUCAACCUUGGAACUGCAUUCAAAACUCCUGGUCUGGAGUUCGGGAGAGGUGAGUGGAAUUCCGAGUGUAGGGGUGAAAUUCGUAGAUAUUCGGAGGAACACCAGUGGCGAAGGCGGCUCACUGGCUCGAUACUGACGCUGAGGUGCGAAAGCGUGGGGAGCAAACAGGAUUAGAAACCCCUGUAGUCC